rnacentral:ncRNA from 1 species
UUAAGUUGUACAACACCCUGUAAACCGAGACCUCUAGGGUGUCUAAACACGUCUCUAAUACCUCAGGCGGAGGGUGUCUGAGGAAUAUUCAUACUA